AAAUUUUAGCUUUGCCCUUCAACCUGCCAUUUAAAAUAAAGUGACAAUCAAGAAUAGCAAAAUGAUUGAUGUUGGCUAUUUGGGUUUAAUGAUGCAUUAUCCCAUUUUGUAUUGAGCAUGCAUUGAAAAUAUAGUUUAAAGGUGAUCCAUCUUCAACAAAUUACUGGAAAAACAAAACACCACAAAAGCACUCUAGCACGGGUGAGGGAACUAAGUUGGCCACUCUGCCUUGCCAUCAAUCCAUGACAUGUGUUUGACUUGUAAAGAAAAGAUUUCGCGUUUGUAUUCUUUGAAAUUUUAACAUAUCGACAUAUAAAAGGCAACAUGUUUUGCACCAACUCAGCAUGCACAAUACUUGCCUCUCAUCCUCACUUAGCCUGCUGUGCAUCAUUCAGUUAUGAUCUACAGAACAAGGUAUUGAAAGUACAAUAUUUUUUUUUGGACACUCUACACAUUAACUAGCUAUUAAUUAUAAUCCCUUGGAUCAAAUUCG
rnacentral:misc_RNA from 1 species